CCGGAACUCGCGCUGGCUCGCGAGCGCCGCGCGCUGCCCGGGUUCCCAUCCGCGCCUCUCCCUCCACACCUCCCAGCAAGCAGAGGGAGCCGGCUCUGGCCUCCGCCAGCCCAGAGAGGCUUCCACAGUGCAGCGGCGGGCUGAAGGGCUCCUCAAGCGCGGCCAGAGUGGACGCCGAGGCCGAGGAGGCGCGGAGAGCGAGCGAGGGCUGCUAGCCCAUGCAAUGGACUCCAUGAAGGAAUGGCUCCUCCCCAGCAACUGAGUGCCUGAGUGCUGCUGAAGCUGAGGGAGCAGGACGGCUCCAGCCCUGAGGAAGAGUUUGGGAAUGCAUCAGAAGAGGCCAGCUUCCCAAAGAGGCAUGCAGUCUGGCUGUGGGCUGACUUUCAGUCAUGCCAAUCUCUUUCUCCUAACAUUUUGAACCUUAAUGGAGAUAUACUACCUUUGAUUAGUUUUUAAGGAGAAGCCUCAUAAAAAGCAAAAUCUGUGUGCCAGAUCUUUCAUUUGAAAUACAGUGUAACUGAUGGCCCUUCAUUAGCAUUUUAUUGGUACUCUUUAAAACACUCACUGGACGAAACAUUCCAGAAGUUCUCUCUCUGUGGAACGUAUCACUGUUGUGUCAGACUCUGUAGUUUACAAACUUAAAUGUAGAAUUCUUAAAAAUGUAUUCCUUUGAGAAAUAUAGCUCCUUUGGUGUAGGUGUUAAAUAGAUCUUGAAUUUCUGAUCCCUUCAAAAUUUUUAAGUUUGCAUUUUAAUGUACUAAGCAUCUAAGGGAAUAAACAAUUUUUGACAGGUCACUUGCUCAUAGGGGACACCCCACAUAAUUGAAUAAAAUAUAAAUAAUCUCUUUAACAGUAUUUUGACCGGUUAGUUCAG
rnacentral:lncRNA from 10 species